rnacentral:rRNA from 1 species
UGGUGGCAAUUCUAGAGCUAAUACAUGGCACGAAUGGCUCCGACUUUUGGACGAGCGCAUCUAUUAGAUUAAAACCAAUCGGGUCUAAUGUUUCUGUUAGGCCCGUAAAUUGGUGACUCUGAAUAGCUCUUGCUGAUCGCAUGGUCUUGUACCGGCGACGUAUCUAUCAAGUGUCUGCCUUAUCAACUUUCGAUGGUAGUUUAUGUGCCUACCAUGGUUGUAACGGGUAACGGAGAAUAAGGGUUCGACUCCGGAGAGGGAGCCUGAGAAACGGCUACCACAUCCAAGGAAGGCAGCAGGCGCGCAAAUUACCCACUCUCGGAAUGAGGAGGUAGUGACGAAAAAUAACGAGACCGUUCUCUCUGAGGCCGGUUAUCGGAAUGGGUACAAUUUAAACCCGUUAACGAGGAUCUAUGAGAGGGCAAGUCUGGUGCCAGCAGCCGCGGUAAUUCCAGCUCUCAAAGUGUAUAUCGUCAUUGCUGCGGUUAAAAAGCUCGUAGUUGGAUCUUCGUCUAAGGACUCGGUCCGUUCAUUGGACGCGAACUGGGCUCCUAGACUAUUGAUGCCAGUCGUUCCCUACGUUACCUUUAUCGGUUGCGUAGGGUGGCCGGCAAGUUUACCUUGAAAAAAUUAGAGUGCUCAAUGCGGGCUGAUGCCUGAAUACUCGUGCAUGGAAUAAUGAAAUAGGAUCUCGGUUCUAUUUUGUUGGUUUUCUGAAUUGAGAUAAUGGUUAAGAGGGACGGACGGGGGCAUUCGUAUCGCUGCGUGAGAGGUGAAAUUCUUGGACCGUAGCGAGACGUCCGACUGCGAAAGCAUUUGCCAAGAAUGUCUUCAUUAAUCAAGA